ACCGGUUCACGUGACUGGCGCCGCGAGAUGGACCACCAUCGGGGAGCGUGAACUUCAAUCGCCGCGCGCCUGGGCAUUUCAU
rnacentral:ncRNA from 2 species